AGGUUAAGCUAAUAAGAGCACACGGAGGAUGCCUAGGCGCCAGGAGCCGACGAAGGACGUGGCGAACAACGAAACUGCCUCGGGGAGCUGUAAGCAAGCUUUGAUCCGGGGGUGUCCGAAUGGGGAAACCCAGCUGUGGUAAUUCGCAGUUACUCAUUUCUGAAUACAUAGGAAAUGUAGAGGCAGACCAGGGGAACUGAAACAUCUAAGUACCCUGAGGAAGAGAAAACAAUAGUGAUUCCGUCAGUAGCGGCGAGCGAACGCGGAACAGCCUAAACCUAAGAGCUUGCUCUUAGGGGUUGUGGGACGUCUCACAUGGAGUUACAAAGGAAUAUGGUAGGUGAAGAGGUCUGGAAAGGCCCGCGAUAGAGGUAAAAGCCCUGUAACCUAAACUGUGUUCUCUCCGAGACGGAUCCCGAGUAGUGCGGGGCACGUGAAACCCCGUAUGAAUCCAGCAGGACCAUCUGCUAAGGCUAAAUACUACCUGGCGAC
rnacentral:rRNA from 1 species